ensembl:lncRNA
UUUUUUUGUAGCCCUGCGAGUGAAGGCCACAGUAACCACCCUAAUUGCAGCAGCUUUAUUUCCCCUUUACAAAACCACACUCACCCUUGCUAUCUGUGACACUUAUCAUAGCUGCUAAGCCGAUGCUAGGUGCUAAACCACGAGUCCGAUUUUGCGGACACCCUUUUGUACUGUUAAUGUUUCCUGGAAUCGAUGCACUAGAAAGUAAUCAACUAUCAUUGGACCUGUGUGAUUUUGAGGCAGUAGCAGUCAGCAGCCUCUGAGUGAUGGAGAUGGACCUUGGGCAGAUUUCCAGGAUUUUGAUAAGAGGACUGCAGGCUGAUAGCUGGGUAGCGGCAGCACUCAAUGAAGUCAACAGCGAGGCAGGGGUCGCUUGAGGAGCCUGGAGCCUAUCCCAGGGAACUCAGGGCACAGGACAGGGGUUCACCCUGGAUAGGGUGCCAGCCCAUCGCACAAGCACACACAUUCACACACUACGGACAAUUUGGAAAUGCCAGUCAGCCUACAACAGAUGUCUUUGGACUGGGGGAGGAAACCUCUGAAGCACAGGGAGAACAUGCAAACUUUAUGCACACAGGGCGGAGGUGGGAGUCGAACCCCCAACCAAGGUUCCUGAGAAGAGUUUUGGGCCUUUAUUGAGGGAUUAGAGCAAAUCCAUCCGAGCAGACAGGAUUGGGAGGCGACUCCCUGAAGAGACGGGCCUUUCUCUUCCCAUCAUCACUGGCAGCUCCUCAAAUGUGGUGUGGAAAUAACAGAC